AGUGAACGCUGGCGGUAGGCCUAACACAUGCAAGUCGAACGGCAGCACAGUAAGAGCUUGCUCUUACGGGUGGCGAGUGGCGGACGGGUGAGGAAUACAUCGGAAUCUACUUUUUCGUGGGGGAUAACGUAGGGAAACUUACGCUAAUACCGCAUACGACCUACGGGUGAAAGCAGGGGAUAUUCGGACCUUGCGCGAUUGAAUGAGCCGAUGUCGGAUUAGCUAGUUGGCGGGGUAAAGGCCCACCAAGGCGACGAUCCGUAGCUGGUCUGAGAGGAUGAUCAGCCACACUGGAACUGAGACACGGUCCAGACUCCUACGGGAGGCAGCAGUGGGGAAUAUUGGACAAUGGGCGCAAGCCUGAACCAGCCAUACCGCGUGGGUGAAGAAGGCCUUCGGGUUGUAAAGCCCUUUUGUUGGGAAAGAAAAGCAGCAGGUUAAUACCCCGCUGUUCUGACGGUACCCAAAGAAUAAGCACCGGCUAACUUCGUG
rnacentral:rRNA from 1 species